rnacentral:rRNA from 1 species
ACGGAAGGCAGCAGUGGGGAAUAUUGCACAAUGGGGGAAACCCUGAUGCAGCGACGCCGCGUGAGCGAAGAAGUAUUUCGGUAUGUAAAGCUCUAUCAGCAGGGAAGAAAAUGACGGUACCUGACUAAGAAGCCCCGGCUAACUACGUGCCAGCAGCCGCGGUAAUACGUAGGGGGCAAGCGUUAUCCGGAUUUACUGGGUGUAAAGGGAGCGUAGACGGCAAGGUAAGUCUGAAGUGAAAUGCCGGGGCUCAACCCCGGAACUGCUUUGGAAACUAUCUCGCUCGAGUACGGGAGGGGUAAGCGGAAUUCCUAGUGUAGCGGUGAAAUGCGUAGAUAUUAGGAGGAACACCAGUGGCGAAGGCGGCUUACUGGACGGUAACUGACGUUGAGGCUCGAAAGCGUGGGGAGCAAACAGGAUUAGAUACCCUGGUA